AAUAAUUACAAAACAUCUAUGUUCUCUGUCUAAACUGAAUACUUCCCAUUUUUCAGAUGUUCCACAUGAUAAGAGACCGAGUGUCGCUGAAUGCUGUCCCUUCUUUUUAUUUUAAGCUACAAUACAACAUUCAACACCUUCGCACUCGACUCAUCAUAAUAAAACCUCUAUGCUACUACUCUAAACUUGUAUAAAGAAUCUCAGGCAGCCGUACUUUAUCUUCCUGCAAAAGAUCAGUUUGAGUCGUCGAAUAAUUUAACUGAGCCCCUCUUAGAGAUUUACUAUGAAACCCGAGAACUCUCAUUUGCCCAUUAUCAUCAAGUUGAUAAAGUACGCCUGAUAAGCCGAUACCUGAGGAAUCUGUUUGCAAAUAAUAAGGUGAUGUAAGUCCCUAACACGCAAGCUACGUCAGUACAAUGAAGCAGAGGAAGAGAAUUUGAUUUAUUUAGAUACUAGUAUAUAGAAAUAUUUUAUUUUAUAUUUAAUUAACUCCAAAUCAAAUCAGUUCACAUUCCAGUUUUCUUACGGCAGCAAAAAUGUAGCCAAAGAGGCUACUUUAUGUAACAAACUAUUCAUAUAUUUAAUCCUGGUCAUUCCGGUGCCAAAAAUGUACCUUAACCCAAUAUUAGCUAAUCUACUUUAAUAAAACUCAUCCAGAAUUAAUUAUAAAUAAAUAAAAAUAAAUAAAUUUGGCCAUGUGAUCGUCUAGUGAAAUUAAUACGUUGUGAACCUUAGUACCCUUCGUCUUUUAUGUGCAGACUGAUUAGAUUUGGAUUUAAAAUACUACCCCUAAAAUACCCUAUGUAAUUGUAAAUAUUUCUACUGUAUUUCUAUAUUAUAACACUAUCAUAUGAAAAAAAUUAAAUAAUAAAUUAUAUUUUUUAGAAUUUAUCUUCUACCGAGCCCUACCGUGACCAGUUACCAUGAACAGUAGUGUAAGCCCUUGUUGUUUGUAAUUAUAUUUUCCUUUUAUAUCCAUUCGCUAAUCUAGCUAGCUAAAGGAAAAUAUAUAUAUGUAAAUGUUGCAAAAAUUAAUACGUACAAACAUACUUUAUCUACUGUCACGCCUCGGAUGAAGUCGGGUCUCUAAACUAAAUAAUACCUAUUUUAUUUUGUUUUGUUUUUAAUAGGUAUUCCUAAACACUAUGUAAUAUUUACUUUUAUCUGCGUUUCGGAACCUAUUUUCAGACAAGAAGAAACGCCAAGAAACUUAUCUGAAUAUACUAUAAAUGUAUGGAAUACUGAAGCGAUCGUCUAAUAAACAUGACUUUUUAACCCUUAGAUACCCAAUAUAGAAAAGCUCAAAUUGUCACUAGUGAACUGCUUCGCCUGUCACUAGCUCCCUAUAACAAAAUUAUUUAGUAUGUCCUCAAAUAACUUUGUUCCCCUAUCUCACCAGAUAUAAAAAUGUAUUACCUUUAAAUCAUAUUUAAUAUACGAGCCUCAGUAACCCAUCCAUAUGCUACUAAAACUAGACUUUAAUUUAUUCUGUAUUUUAAAACAAUUAACUCUCUAAUGAUUUUAACACUGUAUGUAACUAAAAUACAUGUGAAAGAAUAAAUAAUAAUAAAGAAAGAAAUAAUAAUUAACCCUAACACCCAAAUAAUGACUCUACCCUAACUCUACCCCAAUUUCACCUAUUCUAAUGUGUAAGACUAGAAGCGAACCUCUAGUAUUACAGGGGGGGGGGAAGUGUGUGAGAGGGACCCUAAUUUAAGCUGUAAACGUUCGGCCGACAAAACCGAGGUAUUGCAAACCCUAGUGUCUGUGUAAUUUGCCUCCCUCCGCAGUAUAGGCCGUAGCCAAGGGUACUGACGAAUAAGGCGCCCUAUUCCAAAUAUAAAAUGUGAUUAUAUAAAUAUAUAUAACAAGACCACGCUUCUUCAAUUACCAACAGAUUUCAGUGAGUAAAGAUUACUCUUAAUGAUCCACACGUGAGAUCCUCA